rnacentral:rRNA from 1 species
UUGACCUCGGAUCAGGUAGGAAUACCCGCUGAACUUAAGCAUAUCAAUAAGACGGGAGGAAAA